GACGAACGCUGGCGGCGUGCUUAACACAUGCAAGUCGAACGAAGUGGCGAACGGGUGAGUAACGCGUAAUCAACCUGCCCUUCAGAGGGGGACAACAGUUGGAAACGACUGCUAAUACCGCAUACUGAAGGAGGGGCUUGCGUAUGAUGAGCUAGUUGGGGGGGUAACGGCCCCCCAAGGCGAUGAUCAGUAGCCGGUGUGAGAGGAUGAACGGCCACAGUGGGAAUGAGAAACGGCCCAGACUCCUACGGGAGGCAGCAGUGGGGAAACGUCCGCAAUGGACGAAAGUCUGACGGAGCAACGCCGCGGGAGUGAUGACGGCCUUCGGGUGGUAAAGCUCUGUUAAUCGGGACGCGGUACCGGAAUAGAAAGCAACGGCUAACUACGUGCCAGCAGCCGCGGUAAUUC
rnacentral:rRNA from 1 species